CAAGAUCAAAACACAAAAAAAUACCAAAAGAUCCCACACCAAAGACAAUUCCUAUGCCAAAUAGCCUUCAAAGUUUUGAAGUAAGUAGAACUGACUAGAGUUCCAGUUUGUGAAGAACGAGUUUGUACUUGGUGACCCUCAUGGAGGGAAAAGAAGUCCAGAAAUUAUAGAAAGUACAGGACUCACAGCCGAGAAGUUCUAAAAUGAUUUACAGGUUGGGUGAUUAGAGUCUACUAAUGUUUGAUUGUUUUUGGACCCACUGGAUGUUAAGUCAUUUCUAGUAGAUCUGUUUGACAAGGUUUACCCGGAGAUUUUUUUAUUUCUGUGAAGAGUUCUUUGGGG
rnacentral:lncRNA from 1 species